AAGCUCUGCCUGAAUAAAGGUUUGUACUUAGCGAAACGCUGGACCAGCUUUCUCGUCCGUGCUUCCCGUGUCGCCUGCCCGCCACCGCUGAGCUGAAAUCACUCGAGACCGUCUGAAGCUGCUCACACGCGCUUCGGCCCAGUCCUUUUCAGGGCUGCCUCUAGAGAAGUCGCGGUGCUCCGGGCUUUCCGUCGCUGCGGCAACUGGACACGGAGCAUUGCUUCAAGGAGGUGCCGAGGGACAAAGCUUUGUGUCUGGAAGCAGCAUCUGAGCAGGGUCAAAUACGAGUGGCAAAUCAACGUUGGCAUGGAUCUGCCGGAGGAGAGGAGUUUCUGGUGGGCUCCCAGUGGCAUCUGAUGGAGUGAUGGUGAGAGCAUCUCAUAGGGUCUGGGGGAGCACCUGGAUGCACUUGGAUGUGGAGCACCGCUUAAAGGAGAUGUCCCUCCCCGGUGCCCUCAAUCUGUCACAAGAAUUCCAAGAAAAAAAAAGGC